rfam:Triticum aestivum genome assembly, contig: Triticum_aestivum_CS42_TGACv1_scaffold_062697_1DL
GCGGGGAUAGCUCAGUUGGGAGAGCGUCAGACUGAAGAUCUGAAGGUCGCUUGUUCGAUCCAUGCUCACCGCA